rnacentral:rRNA from 1 species
ACGGGAGGCAGCAGUGGGGGAUAUUGCACAAUGGGCGAAAGCCUGAUGCAGCAACGCCGCGUGAGGGAAGACGGUUUUCGGAUUGUAAACCUCUGUCUUUGGUGACGAAGAAAGUGACGGUAGCCAAGGAGGAAGCCACGGCUAACUACGUGCCAGCAGCCGCGGUAAUACGUAGGUGGCAAGCGUUGUCCGGAUUUACUGGGUGUAAAGGGUGCGCAGGCGGGAUAGCAAGUCAGCUGUGAAAACUACGGGCUUAACCUGUAGACUGCAGUUGAAACUGUUGUUCUUGAGUGAAGCAGAGGUAGGCGGAAUUCCGAGUGUAGCGGUGAAAUGCGUAGAUAUUCGGAGGAACACCAGUGGCGAAGGCGGCCUACUGGGCUUUAACUGACGCUGAGGCACGAAAGCAUGGGGAGCAAACAGGAUUAGAUACCCUGGUA